CAAACAGCACACGAUCUCCAGGAGGCCACAGUCAGAGAAACACUCAGCUAGAGAGAAGGCUGAGGAAGAAAUUGGAGUUUGAUCCCUGCAGGAUGUGUCCAUCUCAGAGAAAAUGCCCAUGCAGGUGCACUGGCUGCCUCAGCAGAGAGGUCAGGGAUUGAACGGGUGAUGGAGUCUUCAGUAUCUACACAUCUCUGAAGGAGGAAUGGAAGAGGAUCAAGGCAGAAUCGAGACAUGGAGAGCAAGUCCCUGUGGCAAGCUGGAAAGGGAGAGAGGCUGGGCUGGGGAGCACAGCACAACAUCCCCACAUCAGGCUCAGGCAGGACUUGGAGGAGC